AUGGAUAGAGGGCCACCAUGCCAAAUGGGUUUCUACCACUUCUGCUGUCAUGCAGGACAGCUGUCCACAUACCUGCAGCCUGCACUGCAGAGCCCAGACAAGAGGAGUCCGGAACUGUACUUUCCAGCUCAUGAACUCUCUGAUGCAGUGCUUUUUCCAUGCAAUUGCAAAGUAAAGGCACCACCUGAGACCCACCAUUUGCCAGCACAAGAAGACUCUCUUUCAGCCAGCUGCUGUACCCACAUGCUCAGAAGGUGCUUUCUGUAUGGCAUCCCUCAUGGCACCACAACAGCUAACCAAAGCUGUCAGUGGCAGAAGCUAUCUCACAACAGGAAGGCAUUGAUAACCUGUGUGCAGGUACCUUGGGCAUGGUAUUCCAGCCACGGCAUUCCCUGCUGCCCUCUCCUGAGCACCACGAGCAGCUUGUGCCAUCUGCAGAACAUGACUGCUACUGACACCAGUGGUGAUGAGAAAUUGGAAGGAAAGGAUGAAGGUGAAGAGAAGCAGGAGCCUGUAGAGGUCACCAAGAAACGUGUACAAAAUAGCAGAUUUCUCUGCACGGCAGGGCACAGAAGUGUAUUGUAUCCCAGGAACUGUUGGCAAUGCCACUGCAAACUGAGGUGGGCUAGGAAAGUGCUCCUUCUGGCAACAGGCUUUUUAGUACAGGAGAAAACACAAAACAUGGAACAACCCUUCUCUGCUAAGAUCUGUCUUAUUACAGAGCGAUCAGAACAUCUGUCUCCCUGCCUCCCUUGGCAGCUCCCAAGCCCGCCAGAGUUCUCUCUGCCUUCCCCAUCACACCUCUGCAGCACGGGUCUGGCCUCCAUAACAAAAGUCGACCCAGCCAUUGGGGAUGAUAUGGUGCCCUGGGGUCUGCAGGGCUGGAUAGUGCCCCAUGUCACAGGGACAAGGGCAGCAGCUGCCUCCUGCAACUCCAGCAAGGCGUGGGGCAGCGAUGCUGCACCCCUGCCGCCCCUGCCCUGGCCAGGAGCAAGAGCUCUUGCCCCUUGCCUGGUGGCACAGCAGCUCCUGCUGGCACAGGGCAGAAGAAUCACCUUGUGCACCAACAGAGCUGCAUCCUCCGUUAAAUCCUCCCUUGCAUGCGGGGUACAGAGAUAG
rnacentral:lncRNA from 1 species